rnacentral:miRNA from 1 species
UAGCUCCGGUCCCUUCUCCAAC